rnacentral:lncRNA from 1 species
UUUAUUUUGAUUGGUUGAAGGUUAAUACUUGAACUAUAGUUUUGGAAUACUUGCUGGUGAUUCUAUUCUAUACAUUUAUUUUGUGAAUAUAUGCAAUAUUUUUUAAAGUAAAAUUUGUUAAAAAGACGCUUUAUAAAAAAUUGUUCUAAAAAAUAAGUGAAAAAUGUAAUUGAAAUUUAAAAAUAAGCCUAUUAAUCUAUUAAAAAAGAAAAAGAAAAAAAUAAAAAAUAGACGGGCAAGCC